UACAGAGGGGCAAGCGUUGUUCGGAAUUACUGGGCGUAAAGGGCGCGUAGGCGGCCUUCUAAGUCGAACGUGAAAUCCCCGGGCUCAACCCGGGAAUUGCGUCCGAUACUGGAAGGCUUGAAUCCGGGAGAGGGAUGCGGAAUUCCGAGGUGUAGCGGUGAAAUGCGUAGAUAUCUGGAGGAACACCAAUUGCGAAGGCAGCUCGCUGGGACGUAACUGACGCUGAGACGCGAAAGCG
rnacentral:rRNA from 1 species